UACGUAGGGACCGAGCGUUGUCCGGAAUCAUUGGGCGUAAAGGGCGCGUAGGCUGCGGGGCAAGUCGGGUGUGAAAUCUCAGAGCUCAACUCUGAAACUGCACUCGAUACUGCUUUGCUUGAGGACUGGAGAGGAGAUUGGAAUUUACGGUGUAGCGGUGAAAUGCGUAGAUAUCGUAAGGAAGACCAGUGGCGAAGGCGGGUCUCUGGACAGUUCCUGACGCUGAGGCACGAAGGCCAGGGGAGCAAACGGG
rnacentral:rRNA from 1 species